CCUACGGGUGGCAGCAGUAGGGAAUUUUCGGCAAUGGGCGAAAGCCUGACCGAGCAAUGCCGCGUGAGUGAAGAAGGCCUUCGGGUUGUAAAGCUCUGUUGUAAAGGAAGAAAGGACUGCAUAGGGAAUGCUGCCAUUGUGACGGUACUUUACGAGGAAGUCACGGCUAACUACGUGCCAGCAGCCGCGGUAAUACGUAGGUGGGUAGCGUUAUCCGGAAUUAUGGGGCGGAAAGGGUGAGCAGCCGGCUAGAAAAGCUUAAGGGGAAAGCGUGGGGCUCAACCCCAUAAGGCCGUAGGAACUAGCUGGCUAGAGUGCGUGAGAGGGAGAUGGAAGUCCAUGUGUAGCGGUAAAAUGCGUAGAUAUAUGGAGGAACACCAGUGGCGAAGGCGGUCGCCUGGCCUGUAACUGACGCUGAGGCACGAAAGCGUGGGGAGCAAAUAGGAUUAGAUACCCGAGUAGUC
rnacentral:rRNA from 1 species